AACACAGACCCUUUGCUGCUGCUGUUGCUGCUGCUGCUGCUGUUGCUGCUGCUGCUGCUACUGCUGCUGCUGCUACUGCUGCUGCUUGGCCCUGGCUGGAGACAUCUCACUACACCCAGGAGCAGCCACUUCCCCAGCUCUCCUCCUCCUCCUUCGCCUCCUCCUCCUCCACUCCCCCCCUUUAUUACCCUUUGUGUCAUCCUCCACAGCUCCAGGGAAGGCACUCAAAAGUGGGGGGCAGGAAAGCCCACAUAUGACAGUGGACAUAGAGGACAACGCAGAUAUAGAACAUUUCUUUUAUCACAAUGUACAUUGAAGAUGUCAGUUUCUACAUGUGGGAAGUAGACAUUGAAGGCUUUAUGGUUUACAGACAAGAUCUUUAGAAGAUAAGCACUAAAGGACCAAGGAAAUAAAUACCAGAAAUCAAGAAGAGCACACACUAUUUUCCUUCAUCAAUCCAUAGAACCCUAAUGCUUCUUUAG
rnacentral:lncRNA from 1 species